AGUAGCGGAAAAAUGGCGGAUAAAAGUGAGAUUUCGUUAAAUGGUAAACCAAUUUCGACUCUUCGAGUGGUGGAUCUUAAACAAGAACUCGAAAAACGGGGAUUAUCAAAAAGUGGAAGUAAAAAAGAUUUAGUUGAUAGGCUGAAACUACAACUUCAAAUAGAAAGACUCCAUAAUGCAUCAGAAAAAAGUGAAGUUGAACCAUCAGACAGGAGAGCAGAUUUGGUCCCAAAUAUAUCUUUACAAGAUGAUGUUAUUGCUGAACAAAAUGAUUUCAUAAAGAAAUAUCUGGCUGAUCAACAGAAGAGCUAUGCAAUACAGAAAGAAGCCCGUAGACUUGUAGAGCUAGAGAACUACAGAUCUAGUGAUGCAGAAGCUUCAUCAUCACAAGAAGAAGAAGGAUCUCCAGAAAAAGAUGAUAAUAAAAGGAAAGGAAAAGUUAAUGAAGAACAUAUAAAAGCUAGUGAAGAUGUUGCAGUGGAUCAGUUAGGGGAUGUUUCUUCUCCUGAAAAAAAAUCCCGUAGAAGGACAAGAACUUCAUCCAACCAAGAAAACAAAGAUUCUGAGGAAAAAGAUGAGCUUUCAUUUAAACAGCCCUCAGAACCACAGAUAAUAAAAACUCCGGAAAAAACACGAAGAAGAACAAGAAGCUCUUUACAAUCAGAAGAUAAAGAUCUAGAGGUAGCUGAUACAUGUGAUCAAACAAAAGACAUUGAAGAAUUUACAGAAACUCAAGGAAAUACUUCUGUUAAAACUGAAAAAGUAAAACAAGAAGGUGAAGAAAUAAAUCAUGAAACUGAACCAGAAAAUAAAACACUUCAUCCACAAGAAGGUAGUACAAUCAAUUUGAAUGCUGCUGUAAAGCAGACAGACCAGCCUGCAGUAAACGUUGAGAUACAAUCCACAGGGAAAAAUCUAGAAAAAGAUUUUGAGAAAACAGAUAGUAAAAACACAUAUUUGAAUAGCAAACAGCCACAUGAAAAAGAUAUCAACAAAAGUCAAGAACUGGAGAAAAGAUCCUUAGAUUUACAACCUGAAAUCCAAGUUGAAGUAAAUACUAAGAAUUCUAUAAAGAGUAAGACUUUGAUAGAAAUCACUGGCAAAAGUAAAGAGAAAGUGAAUGAAGAUACUAAUAACAACUGUAACAAGAUAGCAAAUGAACCUGUUGAUCCUCCAAGAACAAGAAGGAUACAGAGAAACAAUUGGAAGACCAGGAGGGAUUCUGAAAAACUUAAAGAAGAUACCUUAGCUGAAUCAAAAAUGUCAUCAUUUUUAAAGACUGAACAGUCUAAAGAAGAGAGUUUCACAAAAGAGGAGGAGCAACUGCAAGGAAAUCAAGAAAGUAAACAAUCUAAAGAAGAGAGUUUCACAAAAGAGGAGGAGCAACUGCAAGGAAAUCAAGAAAGUAAACAAUCUAAAGAAGAGAGUUCUACAAAAGAGGAGGAGCAACUUCAAGGAAAUCAAGAAAGUAAACAAUCUAAAGAAGAUAGUUCCACAAAAGAGGAGGAGCAACCGCAAGGAAAUCAAGAAAGUAAACAAUCUAAAGAAGAGAGUUCCAUAAAAGAGGAGGAGCAACCGCAAGGAAAUGAAGAAAGUAAACAAUCUAAAGAAGAUAGUUCCACAAAAGAGGAGGAGCAACCGCAAGGAAAUCAAGAAAGUAAACAAUCUAAAGAAGAGAGUUUCACAAAAGAGGAGGAGCAAAUGCAAAGAAAUCAAGAACAGACCAAAGAAUAUGAAAACAAAUUAGUUUUGGAAAUGUCUCAGAAAGUAGAAUCAAAUUCUCCAUUGGAGGAAGUGAUGAAAACUGAUGUUAAUGGGCAUCAGGAUGAAGCAAAAAAACUCUGCAUUAAAGAAUUGAAUAUACAAGAAAAAAACAGAAAAACUGAAAAUAAACAGCAAGAAGUUGUUGAUAAACUUAAGAAACAUCAAGAUCUAGAUCAGAAAAUGGAUACAAGCCAUGGAGAUGUACCAGAAAGAUCCAAACUUGAGGAGCAAAAUGAAUAUACUGAAGCUGAAACUGAUAAGAAAGACCAUUUAAGGAGCAACAAAAAAGAAGCAGAUAAAGAAAAGAAAACUGAUGUUGAAAAUUAUUCACAUGAGGUUGGGGAAGAAAAUGCACAAGACUUUAAUGAAAGAAAAAAGGAAAUUACCGAAAAAGAACAAAUAAAAGAAAAUGAUGAAAUUCAAAAUAAACAUGAAACAAUCGAAGUUUUAAAGAUUGAAAAUGAGCAAGAAUCAAUCAAAGAAGAAAAAACUGAAAUGAAGAUAAAAUUAACUGAGCAAGAAUCUAAAACUGGCCAAGAGGAGACAAGACAAUUAGAAUUUAAAGCAGGCUUAAAUCUAGCGAAACAAUUAAAAACUACAACAGAACAAGAACAGGCUCAGAACUUAAGAACUGAACAAGAACAGGCUGAACAAGUAGGUGUUAAAGCUGACUUACAAUUAGCUGAAGAGUUAGAAGCUACAAUUGAACUAGAACAAACUGAAAACUUAAAGACUAAACAAGAACAGGUUGGACAAGUAGAAUUUAAAGCUGGCUUAAAAUUAGCUAAAGCAUUAGAAACUACAACUGAACAAGAUCAGGCUGAUAACUUGGGGACUAAACAAGAACAAGCUGGAGAGUUAGAAUUUAAAGACAACUUAAAAUUAGCUAAAGCGUUAGGAACUACAACUGAACAAGAUCAGGCUGAGAACUUGAGGACCGAACAAGAUCAGGCUGGACAGUUAGAGUUUAAAGACAACUUAAAAUUAGUUAAAGUGGUAGAAACUACAACUAAUCAAGAUCAGGUUGAGGUCUUGGAGACUAAACAAGAACAGGUUGGAGAAGUAGAAUUUAAAGGUGGCUUAAAACUAGCUAAAGCAUUAAAAACUAUAACUGAACAAGAACAGGCUGAGAACUUAGAGACUAAACAAGAACAGGUUGGAGAAGUAGAAUUUAAAGGUGACUUAAAACUGGCUAAUGUGUUAGAAACCACAACUGAACAAGCACAGGCUGAGACCUUAGAAACUAAAGAACAAGCUGAAGAAGUAGAAUUUAAAGGCAAAUUAAAUUCAGCCAAAGUGUUAGAAAGUACAACUGGACAAGAACGAGCUGAAGAAAUGGAAAUAAAAAAUAUACAAAUACAGGCUAAGGAUUUAGAAGAUAGAGAAGAACAAGAAUAUAUUGAAAAUAUAGAAACUAAAAUCAGUGUUGAACAGGCUGUAGAAAACACAGAUGAAGUUGAUCAAGAACCUACCAAAUGUAUUGUAUUAGAUUAUGAAAACAAACAAGUGGUGGAAACGAGAGCUCAUGAUGACGAGCAUUUCUCUGGGUAUAAAAGAAAAUGUGAUACUGAUGAUGAUAUACAAAGAAUAAAAGUAUCAAAAAAUGAUGAAAUGAAAGAACCAGAAGACAAGCGAAAUAGUCGAGAGAUAAAUGUUCAGAAAGGCAAUUUGUUUGCCGAUGUUUGUGAGAACAAAGAAGAAUCUGAUGUGAAAGCCAAAGAAAAUAAGGAGGUAUUUUCACAGCAUGAGUUGGAUCAAAAGCAUGAAGAGGAAAUGGCCCAUGAAAACAGUGUAAAAAGUGGAAAGAAAACAGGGCUUACUAAAAAACAAGUGGUUGAUACUAAAGAAGAUAAAACCACCACAAAAACAGUCAAGGAUUCUGCUAAAAGCAUCAGUAAAACCAAGAGCUUUAAAGAAGACUCCUAUUCUUCAGUAGGCCAAAAGUCAGAAGAGAUUGAAGUUAGAAGAAAAGAUGGUGAUCGUUCACCCUCCUCUCCUGUAGUAAACCCUGACAUUCCUGAAUCAUCUAAGUCACAGACUUGUAGGAAAAGCAGAAACAGAAGUAGAGAAAGAAACAGUAAUAGACAGCAUAAAAGCAGCAGUAGUGUCAGUUCAAGUAGUUCCAGAAGUAGUCGGAGUUCUUCAUGUAGUAGAAGUAGCAGUCAGAGUAGUGGCCAAAGUAGCCGUAGGCACAGUAGAAGCACUAGCAGGUCUUCGUCUAGAAGCAGAAGUCCUUCUCCAAAAAGCAAACACAAAAGAUCUCAAGAAAAGAAAAGAAGUAAGAAGAGUAGGAGUCGAUCUAUUAGUCCAGAGCAAAAUGUUAACAAUGUAGAUUCCAAAGACAAGGUCAUUACAGUUUCUCACGAGAAAAAGAAAGAACCAGAGAGUGUGGUGAAUGAAAAACUAUCCCCAGCUAGAGAUGUUGAUAUCUUGGAGGUGACAGUAGAUGAACAGAAAAAAGAAAUCAUUGAAGAAAGUAUUCAAGCAAAGGAGGAGAAGAAAAGGCCACCAAUCAACUUGACACCCAGAAGAUUAUCUGUCCGUGGUAACAAGGAUCGUGAAACUGUAAAAUCUGCUGAAAUUUCUCAACCACGGAGAAAGAGAAAGUGGGCAACAAGCAUGAACUCCAUACCCAAAGCAUCACUUAGUAUAUCUACUGAUGCACUAAAGAAUCUACUUCCUGAAGAUGUGCCUGAGACUCCUCCUACUCCAGAGAAUCCCUCUCCUGAUCCUGUCCCUAACUCUGAAUCUGCUAACAGUCCUGAAGAUGGGCCACCACCACCUAAGAGAGAAAUUAAACUAAAGAGGCCUGAAAUUAGAGUAGAACCAAGAGCCCCUUCUAAAGAGCCAGAAGAAGUUAAUGUUGCACCUGAAGAGGAAGUAGAGAUAGUUGAAAUUAAAGAAAACAAAGAACACACUCCAUCCCCAGCAAAGAAUCCAAAGUCCAACAUUAUUUCUAUCCGUAACUUAGUCAGACCUUUUACCUUACUGCAGUUGAAGGAUCUUCUGGCUAAAACUGGUACCUUAGUGGAUGGAGGAUUUUGGAUUGAUAAAAUUAAAUCCAAGUGCUGUGUUACAUAUGAAACUGAAGAGCAGGCUGAGGAGACAAGAAAAGCACUUCAUGGAGUGCAGUGGCCUAUUUCAAAUCCUAAAACAUUAAUUGUUGAUUUUGCUACAAAGGAAGAGUUGGACCAGCAUUUGCAUGAAGAAACACCACCAAUAAAGAAAACUGUCCUUACUGAAGAUAAAAACAAAGAACAUAAACAGAGAGAGGAAUGGUUGGGAGAUAGAAAGAAGGCCAAAGAUGUGGAGGAAAAUGACAAAAAGAAGGAAAAAAAUCGAUCUGUACGGCAGAGAAUAACAGCUCCAAUUAGAGAGUGGGAUGUUGGAAAACUCCCUUUAGAAUCACCUGAAAGAGAUGAAGAGAAGAAAAGAUUAAGGGAAAAGGAAAAAGACCGAAGUGCAGAGAAGAAAAAAGAGAAAAAGGAUUCUCGACAUAAACAGGAAGAAGAAACUUCGGCUAAACUUCUAGAUGAUUUGUUUCGCAAGACAAAAACCACUCCUUGUAUAUACUGGUUACCUCUAACUGAAGAGCAGAUUCAAAGCCGAAUAGAAGAACGUAAGCAACGUCAGGUAGAGCGAGAACGACGUAGAAAAGAGGAGGAGGAUAUGCGAUCACAAAGGAAGGAGAGGAGUAGGGGAAGUCGAAGCAGGAGCCGGAGUCCAACAACGAGGAGGCGUUGAGAAGACCACUGAAAGAUGAAGUAUUUAUAAAACUCAGAUACCAACUUCUGAAGGCACACUUGUCAAUGAUUGUCCUUGGAUAAGAUGAGAAGUGCUAACUAUCCUGGCACAGUCGCGCAUACCUUUUGGUACGGUACGGUCCCCUAGCGAGCCCAGAGGGCAUCUAACCUGCAUGGGUUCAUCAGUGGUAGACAACUUUAAGAAAAUCUGACUUGUGGAGAAAUUUGGGUUGUUGGAAGCUUAAAAAUAGGCAGGCAGUGUAGCUCUGAUGUUAGAAAUAUGAAAGCAAUGAGGACUGGAGUUACUGUGCAAGUAUUUAACAGUGUAGCCAGUUCACAAAUACAUAAGUCAUUCAGUGACCUAAUGAUGAAUUCCAGCAAACUGGAGUUUAAAGAAAAUUUAUCAUUAUGUGGUGACAGUAGUGAAAAAUUGUAUGAUAAAGGAAACCUUAAAAAACCUAAUUCAGACUCAGUACUUGUUCUGAGUGGAAAAGUAUCUUUCUUUUUUUUUUAAUGAAGCAAUUUGAGUGAGUUCUCUUGAUUCUUUUUCUAAUUUUUAAUUCUUUGUUCUUUGAUGUGUUCAUGUACAAAAUUCAUUUCAUACUGACACUUUUAAUAUCUGUGGCAAGUGCAUUCAGUCCAUUACAACUGUCCAAUGUGAGUUAGUUUCAUUUAGACAGAGCUGGAAAAAUUGCAUUUUGCAAGUUAUUAAAUCUUUGACAUGGAAAACUUCUAUGAAAAGUGCUUAUAGUGUAAAAUAAGUGUGAUGAGAAAGUAACGUUCAUAAUUAUUGUUUAAGACUCAUUGUAAUAACAAUUCAACUACCCUUAGUUACAGAAAUCCUCUGUCACUGUCAUGUUUGAACCAAUAAAUUUUAAUUAUUUGUGCUUAA
rnacentral:misc_RNA from 1 species